rnacentral:tRNA from 1 species
GGAGAGAUGGUCGAGUGGUUUAAGGCAGCGGUCUUGAAAACCGCCGUGGGGUAACCCACCGUGAGUUCGAAUCUCACUCUCUCCGCCA